UACAGGGGAUGCAAGUGUUAUCCGGAAUUAUUGGGCGUAAAGCGUCUGCAGGUUGAUAUGUAAGUCUUUUGUUAAAACUUUGAGCUUAACUCAAAUCCCUCAAAAGAAACUAUUUAUCUUGAGUAUGGUAGAGGUAAAGGGAAUUUCCAGUGGAGCGGUGAAAUGCGUAGAUAUUGGAAAGAACACCAACAGCGAAGGCACUUUACUGGGCCAUUACUGACACUCAGAGACGAAAGCUAGGGUAGCAAACGGGAUUAGAUACCCCGGUAGUCCUAGCCGUAAACGAUGGAUACUAGAUGUUGCGUACUUUGUACAGUGUCGUAGCUAACGCGUUAAGUAUCCCGCCUGGGAAGUAUGCUCGCAAGAGUG
rnacentral:rRNA from 1 species